rnacentral:rRNA from 1 species
CACGUAGGGCGCAAGCGUUGUCCGGAAUUAUUGGGCGUAAAGAGCUCGUAGGCGGUCUGUUGCGUCCGGUGUGAAAACUCGGGGCUCAACCCCGAGCCUGCAGUCGAUACGGGCAGACUAGAGUGCGGUAGGGGAGACUGGAAUUCCCGGUGUAGCGGUGAAAUGCGCAGAUAUCGGGAAGAACACCCGUGGCGAAGGCGGCUCUCUGGGACGGUACUGACGCUGAGACGCGAAGGCGUGGGGAGCGAACAGG